rnacentral:rRNA from 1 species
CACCGCGGUUAUACGAGAGGCCCAAGUUGAUAGACGCCGGCGUAAAGAGUGGUUAAGUUAAAACCUCACACUAAAGCCAAACAUCUUCAAGACUGUUAUACGCAACCGAAGACAGGAAGUUCAACCACGAAAGUGGCUUUAUUUGAUCUGAACCCACGAAAGCUACGGAA